AUAUGUGUGUCACUAAGGAUGGCUUUUGAGGUUUUCAAAGCCCACACUAGGCCCAAUGCUGCUAGUCUCUCUGCUUGUGGAUCAAGAUAUAGUUCUCAGAUCCUUUUUCCAGCACUACACCUUCCAUGCCUGCUGCCAUGUACCCCACCAUGAUGAUAAUGGACCAAGCUUCUGAAACUACUCAAGUCCCCAGUUGAAUCCUUUCUUUUAUAAGAGCUGCCAUGGACAUGGUGUCUCCUCAUAGCAAGGGAAUGGUGACUAAGACUAUGAAAAUGCUAUGUAAAUCACCGCCUGAUAAUUAAGUUCUAACACACAUGCAUGAAGUAUGCAGUGCUUUCCUGUUCCAUUGCUUUUCUUCAUGGGAGGAAAGGAAGAUAUAAGUGGCCUACAGUUGCAAUGUAGCUGUCCUGUAAAUGUGUGCAGAGGUUUAUUUAGAUGAACAGAUGGACAGAGCAUUUGUCUUGGAAGCAAACAAGACUUUGGGACAACUGUUAAGCUCCAGUCAUCCACCCUUCUCUGAUGACAAUAUUGUUUCCUUUCCUGUACUAAGACCAAACAGCUAUGUCGUAUACUUCUUCAUCCCCUCAAAACUGAAGAAACUGAGGCAAAUGAUUAUAUGAAAACAUUGAAUUACUCAAGGUUACCUUUCAAAUUACCCUUAGAAGCUAAGAGAACAAGGGCCGAUGCUUCCUAGAGUCCUUGUCUACCAUCAAACAGAAUGUGCAAACCUGGUGUCCAGGCACUUUGAUAAUUGAGUCACUCCAUAGGGACAAAAUUGUGAUAUGUGCUCAGGAUUACCUUAUACUUCAAUGAAUGCAAAAUUAACUUUAUAUUGUCUUCAAAAUUCAUUUUUCAUAUGUUUAUGAAAUAAUCUAAACUUUUAACUUGGCCUUUUGACUUAAAAUUUAAAUCACUAAAUAACACAAACCAACAUAACUUUCCCCCUGGCUUUGUACACACAAUAGGUGUUCAGCUAAUACUUGCCCGAUUAAGAAGAUAGAUAAGUGCUUUUCCCAUCCAGUCUCAGUGAAUAUUUAGGUACAAGAAACUCAGGAUGUAGGAUACUGAUACAUAGUGUUUUUAUGUAUAUAAAGAAUGUUCCUUACUGUAUCUGUUCUCUUUGCUUCUAUCAUUGCUGCUGUAUCACCCAUUGCUUCUCACUGUGAUUGUUGAACUACUACAGAUCCCGCCAAAGUUGAGCAGUCAACCAAUUCUCCAACCAGAAAAACCCAUCAUCCUGAAGGUUGUGUCAAGAGAUAAACCCAUAACUGGAGCAUGAAUUUCCCUCAGGAACCAUGUUAUAUUCUUCAGGAGGGCUGUGCCACAGAACACUAGCAAAUUUAAUAUGCCAUACAAUGAUUGAGUGUUCAAUAAUUCAUUGAACAUGCUCAGUGUCUAUACAGAGUAUCAUCUGUUGUGUGAUUCAACAUAAAUAAUUAAGUGAUUGAUAGGUAUGUAGAUUCAUUUUCUGAUUCUCUUGGGACCAUCUACACUGAUUGCAAUUGGUUCCUUCCAUUCUGAACUCCAAAUGUAGUAACUGUUUCUCUGUAGUUCUAUCAAUAAUUUUAAUGAAAAUAGGAACUGUCAUGUUGACUGUUAGUAAAAGUAUAUCAAAUUGUUUCUUGUAAAAUUUUAUGUUAUUGAAAAUAUAAAUAAAAAUCUCUUUCAAAAAUAUAUGAUAUUAUACACAUUAAUGGGAAAACACCAAAUCAACAAAACAAGAUGCUAAUCCUUUCCAAUAAACAUGGUCACCCAUUAUUUGAGCCAAUAGGGGAUCCACACUUGACUCUCAAGAUUGGUGACACUGACCCAUUUUGAAAUGGCACAUUGCUUGAGAAAUUUGUUCAUAGUCCAAUUCGGUAGUCCUUGAAGGAUUUUUAAUAUAACUCAAGUGAAACGUUAAUAUUCUUUUUUAGGCUUGAUCUAUUUUAUCAUCUUCAUCUCCUCUCACUUCUCUGAUAGUCUAUGUUUCCUCAGUCUUCUUCGGAAUGCAUGGUUGUUGCUAUUGUCAACUUCAGAGACACUGGAGGAAGCUUCUCUGGAUGAUGGUUGAGUAAGAUGCUGAUCUGCUUGCCUGGCCAGACACAACACAACUUUGUGUGUGAAUUGAUCCUUAAAGUACAAGAUGAAGUGUCUAGGAAAAUGAUUAAUAAGAGGGAGAAGGAGGAGGAUAUGGCAGGAAUUGUGAUCAAAGACCAUUAUAUGCUUGCAUGAAACUAUUACUAGGUACGAUGUAUAAUGAAUACAUGACAGUAAAACGUGAAUUGAUCUA